rnacentral:lncRNA from 1 species
UUUUCUUUAAUUAGUUUUAAGAAAUAUAGUGUGCUAUCUGUUUCGUUCAAUAUUUUAAAAGGGGCAAACUUCAAAUAUUAUUUGUGUGAUUUAAUGUGUAUCAAUUUAAUAUUCUGUAAUUUUAUUUUCUUUUUUCGUCAGCUCCUCCGUUAAUAUUUUAUUAAAUUGUAUAUAAAAAAUUUCAAAUACCUUACCUAAGUUUAUCGAAUAUUCAUUUUAGUACUUUUUAGUUUUAACUUUAUCCCUGAUUUACAGAAAAAAAAAUUAGUAGAAAGGAUAAUAAAAAGAGAAAAAUAAUACCAUGGAUACUAAAUCGAUACACUUUAAAUCAUAGAAUACCAAAGUGAGAAAGUGCGAAACCACAGAAAUGGUAUUUGAAGUUUUUCCUUUUAAAAAUGAACUUGACUAAAAAUAUUAUACAACAAAGCUUUGAAUUUUGACUCUCAAAUAUCAAUUAUUAAGUCUUUUGGCACCCGCGCUGAGAACGGCUGU